rnacentral:rRNA from 1 species
CCUACGGGUGGCAGCAGUCGAGAAUCAUUCACAAUGGGGGAAACCCUGAUGGUGCGACGCCGCGUGGGGGAAUGAAGGUCUUCGGAUUGUAAACCCCUGUCAUGUGGGAGCAAAUUAAAAAGAUAGUACCACAAGAGGAAGAGACGGCUAACUCUGUGCCAGCAGCCGCGGUAAUACAGAGGUCGCAAGCGGUGUUCGGAAUCACUGGGCGUAAAGCGUGCGUAGGCUGUUUCGUAAGUCGUGGGUGAAAGGCCCGGGCUCAACCCGCGGACGGCACAUGAUACUGCGAGACUGGAGGAAUGGGGGGUGAACCGGAAUUCUGGGUGUAGCAGGGAAAUG